AGGAUUAACGCUGGCGGCGUGCCUAACACAUGCAAGUCGAACGAGGUAGCAAUACCUAGUGGCAGACGGGUGAGUAACGCGUGGUCAACCUACCGUUGAGCGGGGGAUAACUAGCCGAAAGGUUAGCUAAUACCGCAUACGUCUAGCACGGCAUCGUGCAAAGAUAAAAAGCCGCAAGGCACUCGGCGACGGGACCGCGUCCCAUUAGUUAGUUGGUGGGGUAAUGGCCUACCAAGACUCCGAUGGGUAGCUGGUUUGAGAGAGCGACCAGCCACACUGGGACUGAGAAACGGCCCAGACUCCUACGGGAGGCAGCAGUGAGGAAUUUUCCGCAAUGGGCGAAAGCCUGAUCCGGCAAUAUGGCGUGAGUGAAGAAGGGCAACGCAGCUUGUAAAGCUCUUUCAUCGAGUGUGCGAUUGUGACAAGACUCGAAUAAGAACGCCCCGGCUAACUCCGCGCCAGCAGCCGCGGUAA
rnacentral:rRNA from 1 species